AACACAAGCUCGUGGAAACUAAACAAAUUGCUAUUUAAUGACUUUUUAUGGUAAAAAAGUAACCAUUUUUAAUUUUUGGUAAGCAAGAAAAUUAAGGCAGAAAUCUACAUGUCUUUGAAAUAAAUAAAAAUAGAGAUACAGCAUACCUAAACCUCUGGUAUACAACAAAAGUAGUGUUAAGAUGAAAAUUAAUAGCAUUAAGUGCCUACAUAAAAAAAGGCAGAACAGAAGUACAAAGGAGAGCUGGUACCUAUCUUACUAAAACUAUUCUAAGAAUGACAGCCAGAUUCCUAAUUUAACCAUAGGGAAUACAGUUUUAGC
rnacentral:lncRNA from 1 species